CUAAGGCUCUACGCCGAAGAAUCCAUUCAGUCGCCAUGCUUCGUCGACCUCCUCCUCCGACGGGAAAAGGAACGUGGAUCGGCAAGUACUCUGAACAAGAUCAAGCCGCUCUCACGGCCGUCGCGCGUCGAAGCGGCGCGUCCGGUGAGCUUACUGCCGGAGAUUUGGAGAGGAGAGGGCAAUCAUUCGCUGGGGCUGAGGAUGGGCGCGAGGAGAUCGAGGAAGAGCAGAUCGGAGUCGGCGCGGUGAGGUCACCGCCGCUGAGGUGCGAUGACUCGCUGACGCAGCAGGAGGAUGGGAUCGAGAGCGCGAUUGCGCACUGUAAACGGUCGUUUAGUGCGGAUAAUCGUUGAUUAGUAUUAUUAAUUUAGGAAUAUUUUUCUUCCCUCUCUCUCUCUCUCUCUCUCUUUUCUUCUAUUUCUCAAUCGCUAUAUUAAUUGAAUU